GGGCUUUUGGUCGACACAGUUGUGAAUAAUGAAGAAAUUGUGUGAAAUCACAAAGAAUGUUUUUACACAAGCAUCCGAAUUAUGCACCCACACUGAAAAAUCUGUGCAAACUACGUAUCUCAGUGUUUGAUGAAGAACAGACUGAUGGAAUCAUUGACAAAGUAUUCAGUGUUUUGGCAUUGAAAAUAAAAGCUUAAUCAAGCGUUUCUUAUGUUACGGAAGUCAUGACA